CUGGGCGUAAAGAGUUGCGUAGGUGGCAUGGUAAGCGGGUAGUGAAAGCGUUCGGCUCAACCGAAUAUCCAUUACUUGAACUGCCAAGCUAGAGGAUGAGAGAGGUAGAUGGAAUUCCUAGUGUAGGGGUAAUAUCCGUUGAUAUUAGGAGGAACACCGAUGGCGUAAGCAGUCUACUGGCUCAUUUCUGACACUAAGGCACGAAAGCGUGGGGAGCAAACAGGAUUAGAUACCCUGGUAGUCCACGCCGUAAACGAUGGAUGCUAGCUGUUAUCGGUAUCGACCCCGGUAGUAGCGAAGCUAACGCGUUAAGCAUCCCGCCUGUGGAGUACGGUCGCAAGACUAAAACAUAAAGGAAUUGACGGGGACCCGCACAAGCGGUGGAGCGUGUUGUUUAAUUCGAUGGUAAACGAAGAACCUUACCCAGGUUUGACAUCCUUGGAAUUUUUCCGAAAGGAAAGAGUGCCGUAAGGAACCAAGUGACAGGUGUUGCAUGGCCGUCGUCAGCUCGUGUCGUGAGACGUUAGGUUAAGUCCUUUAACGAGCGCAACCCUUAUAGUUAGUUGAAUUGUCUAGCUAGACUGCCCUGGCAACAGGGAGGAAGGGGGGGAUGAGGUCAGGUCAGUA
rnacentral:rRNA from 1 species